rnacentral:rRNA from 1 species
UACGGAGGGUGAAAGCGUUAUCCGGAUUUACUGGGUUUAAAGGGUGCGUAGGUGGGUCUGUAAGUCAGUGGUGAAAUCUCCGAGCUUAACUCGGAAACUGCCAUUGAUACUAUAGGUCUUGAAUUAUCUGGAGGUAAGCGGAAUAUGUCAUGUAGCGGUGAAAUGCUUAGAUAUGACAUAGAACACCAAUUGCGAAGGCAGCUUACUACGGAUCGAUUGACACUGAGGCACGAAAGCGUGGGGAUCAAACAGG